UAUACAGGGAGAUAAGAAAGAAAGAAAAGAGAUCCAAUAAUCCAACUGUCAAGGAAAGGAGCUACGCAUAUUAAAUGAUUUGCAAAUGCAUUAGUAAGCAGUUCUGUAUGCAUUGACACAAGAUUUUCUUGUUCAAAAUAAUUACCCAAACAACAGUCAGUUGCUACUGCAUAACCUAAUUUACAAGGUACCACUGCAUCGUGGUUCUGCCAAGGGAUGCGAGAUAACGAGAGGAAACACUAACCAUGAUCGACAAAUAUCUUUUUUUUUGAUAUAGGUCAACAAAUAUCUUUACAUCUACCUGGGAUCAGCUUUAUACAACAAUCCGUCAUCUGGUCCUAAUUAAGGGAAUAUCCCCUACCUAGGUCACUUCACCACUUCCAUCCAUGUCUUAACCACCUCCAACACCCUCAAACAAAAAGCCCUCUUAACAUUUCUAACACAUUUUAUUUUGGGAAGACUGCUAACAGUAAAAUUGGACAACAGAUAAUUCAUCUCACAUGUGUAGUACCCUUGGUCACUCAUCUACUACAGUACAAGGAGACAACUAUAUAUGUGAAAAUUAUUUUCUAUCUCCAUCUAUUUCACAGCCACUAAAUAAUCCGGAGACUUCUUGACCUCAACUCUGCACAUGCUUGAUUGUCCAAAAGUCUAAUCUGUCCAAAAUAUGUCUUCCAUGGAAGUAAGGUUUGGGAGGAAGGUUCCUUCUCCUUACAGCUCAUCCAUGUCUAGGCUAAACCAGAAAUUGGACAGAAUGACCAGAUGAAAUUAAGUAGCAUAUGUCAUUUCAUAAGUAUAUGGAGAUUCUAUAGCUUCAUCUGCAGAUUUAGCUUAUGCUUUAUGAUACAAAAUGUUGCGCAGUUAGAAAACAACAUGUGCACAAGAUGUGUGUAGCUGUAAUAAGAAUGUUGAAAUGGAUGUAUGGUAACAUAAAAUACAUAGAAUAAAAAGUGCAGUCAUUCAUAAAAAGAUGAAGGUAGCAUCAAUUGAGGAUAAAUUGAGAAAAGAUAACUUUGAUGGUUUGCAUAUGUACAAUAUAAACUUAUGGAUACAUCAGUACAAUGGACCUCACUCAAAAAAGCUAGUCGAAAUGUAUUAUUUAGGUUCUUUGGCUCUGUAUAAGUACUUCAAAAUCUAUCCAGUGCGUAGCAAAUGUGGGACUAAACACACACCCACACAGGUCCUCACAUACUCUCCUUAUUUAUGCCAUGGCAUCCUUGCCAGGCUAAGGGUUCAAAUCCAUUCAAUCUAAUCAAAAGCACCACGAUCGGCCCGUGGUCAGUCCCAAUAGAUCCGUGUUGCAGUGUCCUCCAGUCCACAUAGGCCAUAGGCUGAGUUUGCUUUGAUACCAUUUCCAACAACCCAAGAUCUCACCCAAAAGUCUAGCUAGAAGAUAUUAUUUGGGUUCUUUAGAGUUGUAUAAGUAUCCAAGAUCUAUCCGGUGGCUGUGGGACUAAACACAUGUCCGCGCAGGUCCUCGCGAAUAUAUAUAGAAAGAAAAAGGAACAGACAAAGACCGAAAUCACAUGGAUGAAAUAGUAAGGACUUGUAUCGCCUCAAAAAUGUGGCUCUAAACAAAGUGGAAUGAGGAAAAGGAUUCAUGUAGCUGACCCCAACUAAUUUGGGAUUAAGGCAAAAUUGAGCUGAGUUGAGUUGUGAAGAUUCUGCAAAUUAUGUACUACUCUUUUGCAAUUUUUUCCAAUCCAUCAUAUCAGCAUUGUUUUUUGAUGAUUGCUCUGGACAGACUGAAAACAUCAACUGCAUAAAGGUUAUAUAAUUUCUUUCUUGCAACAUAUGGUUGGCACAGCAGGCUAAGAAAAAUCUUCCCAAGGGGAGAUGCAAUUUUACGUUCAAGCCUUCAAGAAGAGUAGUUCAUGCCUGAAGCUAUUGAUUGGCUAGUCUCGUAUACCUAGUUUCAGGUUCACAAUCACCUAAAUUUUAUACCGGGUGAUGCAGUAGCAUGUUAUCCAAAGCUUCAACUUCACUCUGUCAGAGGAUACUACUGGAGGGAACUGAAUAUUAAGCUCUUUAAACCUGUCAAGGGGAAGUUUACCAAAAGCUGCUACCUGCUCAGUAAAAGGUUGUCGGCAAUGCAACUAGUGUGCAAAAUGAACAAAGAUUAGAAUAUGAAUGUUUCCAAGGGUAGACAGGAAUUCAACACUUAAAGAAUCCAAAAUAAUUCCUUUACAUAGCCAGGGGUCCUAAUAAAAACUUAAUUUAGUAGGCUUCUAACUCCCACCACAAAUUUGAUGCGCUUCUCUGCAUUUAAAUUUUGAGGAUAGAUUUAAGAGGAAAGAAUCAGCAUACAAGACUAAAUCCAAAAACUUUUAUCACCUACAUAACUCUCCUUGUCUGAUUGUAUCCAAGAGGGAUUUUUUACAGAAAGAAUACCUCAGAUGAGCUCACAAUAAGUAGCUCUCUUCCAUUAAUAUUUUAAAGAUUCAACACAUCUUUGUUCUAUGUUUGCAAACAGUAGACAAAUAAAUUAAAUUUAAAUCAUGCUCUCCACUCAAUCUUUUGACAGACUAGUCCUAAAACGACUUUUCAAUUUCUUUGAUGAUAGCAGAAGAUGGGACUUUGAAGCAAUCCAACCAACAGAUUAGAGAACAGAUUAACUCCAAAAACGCUUCUCCCUGUCAAGGUAUGUCGCCAUGGUUUCCUUUCAACGGAUUUAGGAUGUCUUUAACUAUCGUUCAGUUCUUCCUCCAAGGAACAACAACCUCUAAUCAAAUUCAGGCUUUAGAACCUCUUGAUUCAAAAUUUCACUGAAGAAGCUUCAGAAUUUCUAAUAGAUCUAUGGUCUCCAGUACUACAGGUCAUAAGAAAAUAAACAUGGAUAGUGAUUAUACACUUUCCAUCUUAAUUGGAUUAGUAAGUCCCUUCAUCGGAAUAGACUUCCAAAAAGACGAGAUAGACCUUAAAUCACUAGUGUGAAGGAGACACUGGUGUCUCCUUGUCCAAGGCCACAAUGUUGAAGGUGAAGCAUGCAACUUAUCCAUUUGUCAUGAAAUGAUAUCUCAUUGAGCAUUACUAUCAAAAAUUCUCAGGGAAUAACGGCAUAGGCUUUACGAAACAAUCUUGAAGCAGGACUCAGUUAUGCUACCAUAGAUCUGAAACUACUUGAUGGUUAAUAAGCAAGUAAAAAUAUCACCCAAGACACUCUCUUGUUUGAAGGCAGAUCAACUUAUGGGUUCCAUACGCACUGUCAUAAACAAAAUACCAUGCAAAAGAUAGUUCUGAUAUCAGCACCAGCAGAUCUUAGAAUGAGAGCUCGGAAGGUUUGAAUCUGUUUCUUGAACAGUUACCAAAAUUAAAAUUAGUUAAUGCCCCAAAUUAAAAUGAUAGAUAAUGCCUAAGUCACAAAUAUAAAUGGCGUAUUAAUGACUGCCUGACAAGUAUCAUAUUUAACAAUAUACCAAUCAUUUUUGUAGAGACUGUAAUUGUAGUGGAUCUAUCAGGGAUAGAGACUUUGUCAGGACCAGCAGCAUAUGUACUAGAUACGCUGUCACAUAAUAAUGUAUAUAUAGUUUUAUAGCCAUAUUAUACCUCUUUCAUUCUAAGCAUUCUAUGAAUAUAGAUAUAAGCCAUGGAAUGGUGUUGAUUCAGAAAUGUUUAGAAGAGAUCUCUGAAACAAUCCUUAAUUUCCUUCUGGUUAGAACUCUGAACUCUUAUUUCUGCUACUCUCUUCUAGAUGCUAUUUCUGUCUAAUCUAAGCAGCAUUAACGAAUGCAACACUGAUCCAAAGAACUCUAGACUUGAUCUUGUUUGUUCGACUAUAGCAACUUGCAAAUGAAACUAGUUGUUGCAUAAAGAGCUCUUCCUUUUGAACUAGAGGAUCUGAUAUCAGACAAUUUUGACAUCUGCUCAGCUUCUCUUACGAGUUCCUCUCUUUCAAAUUACUGACCUGAUCGCUCAGCAGUUUAAAUGUUUUGCCCUUUUCUUAUCACUCUAAACAUAGGAGUACCUUUGGCUCAAUAUCCAAGCAUGAGAAACUACAGCAAGAAAAUCUUCUUCUUCAGUCUGUUGGAGCAAAUCGGACUAGGCGUAGGGAAGAGGGAUAUACACAACAUAGGAAACAAGUGGUGAAAUCUGAAAUUUAUUUCAUGACUUGAACAUACAAAAUUGGGCCCAAGUAUAAUACUAUUUAUAGGCUCCAAUGGAUCCUUUUAGCUUAUACACUAUUGAUUACGGCUCUUCAAGUUUCCAACUCUUCAUCUACUAGAUACUUCAUUCAAUACAAAAUCUUCAUCUACCAAGUAUCUAAUACAACUCUGCGCUACCAAAGGACUUUUCAGCUGCUAUAACCGUUGACUAGGACAUUUGACUAGAAGACUUUUAUUUUUUCAUGUAGGAUGGCACAUAGAACUACCCAUGCAGACCAUUCAAGCUUAAUUUCCAACACAGGCCACUGAUUAAAGCAUUUAAAGGAUUCAGCCACUACUAAUGAUGACAUCAGAGCCAACUAGAAUAGCAGUAUGAACAAAUAUCUCCACAAGAAAAGAGAUCUUGAAGCUUAGCGAACAGCAUUGCCCAAGCAAUUGGUUAAAGUUUUCACUAAAGCUUAAAGAAGUACUCACCUUUGCCUACCAAGUGUUUGAAACUUGUCAGUUUGGGUUCUAAAUCCAUGUAUUGUGUGAGCAAUCACUUUCAGGUGUUCUAAUAUCUUUCCACUCUACCGGUCUGCCUGAAUUGGAUAUUACAUGUAAGUUUGGUUCCAAGAAACAUGUGCUGUUGAUCUUAUUUUACAAACAACCAUUUGGAUGUUCAUAAAAGAGGCAUCCAAGUGCAUGAGGCCCCCACCAUUGUAAUGUCUAGAAACGAUUAGAUGCAUGCAACCUAACCCUGCAUGCAAUGAGGCUAUUUCUAUAUUUCGAACCUAUGACACCUAGAUUAUAAUGGAGCAAUCUUACCAUAUUGCCAAGGCUAGCCUUCAUUUGGUGUUCCUAAAAAAUUUGCAAAAUUUUGUAUAAGUACCUGACAUAAUCCUUAAUAAGGACAUAAUCUGGAAAUCACAAAUGUUGAGUUUUAGAUAAGUGGAAGGCAUCAAUUAUGUGACACAAAUAACUUCUGCUUUUUGUUCAGGUGAACCUAAAUAACAUGUCAACCAAUAUAUCUAUAUUCAGGUUGUCAAUUGCAGAAGCAACCUGAGUACCUUUUCUUCAGAAUAACAUCAAUGUUAAGCACUUUCUUUGAUUUGCAGAAACUGACAUAUGGACUUCAGUCUCGUCUCUUUUGCUUCCUUAUAGUUUCCAUUGUUUGUUCUCAUAGUAUUGUACCACCAAAAAGAUAAAAAGUCAAAUAUGGAUUGUAAAUAAAACAAUAUCAUUUUUUCACUUCACCUCCGUGCUAUGGACUUAACUAAAUUCCAAAAGGCUAACCUAUCAAUCAUACAAAAUAAGAAACUAACCUCAAUUCUAUCAUCAGGAAGGUCUCUCCAAAAUAAAAGAUGCAUCCCUCCUAGUAAACCCGAGCCUCUAAAUUAAGUGGAAAACUAAAGAACUAAAGGAAAAGGGUGGUGGGUGGUAAUCUCUUCACAUCAAAAAUUAAGACAAAAAUCUCAUUGCGAUCCUUCCCAUCUUCCAGCCCAAUCUCCAUAAGCAAUAUUUUACAAAAUCCCUAAACUAAUAACUCUAUAAUUCAGUCAUUUUUAUUCUGAGCUCAUAUAUUGAUUUUCUGAGCAUUGUGAAUACAAGGUUGAUCCUACUUUUAUCCUCUCUCUCCACCCAAUGUAAAUUCUCAUGAAAGCACCGCACCAUAUAAUUCACAUUUAGACUAAAGAACCAGACAGGGAUGAUCAAACUGAAGUUGGUCAAGAGUACCAGGAUUUCAUCACAAUAAUGAACAUGUACCAUAACUGACCAUCCUAGAAGCAUCAGUGCUUGUGAUAAAAUCAACCUGUCACCUUUUGUUACAUGAUCUGCUAAAAGAUCAAUCAUCUGACUUUAAAUAUAAGAGAUUGGAAACCCUUAACAAAAACCUUUACUAGUACUAGUGAAAACUGAAGAAAAUAUUUGUGAGCAUUGAGAAUUAACAAUUUAUAAAUUCAUGUACAUAAAUUUCACUGCCCAUUCUCUCUAGUUUUUGCUGAUACCUAAUUUGGACAUACCCACGAAAUUCUUAGUUCAGUUUUCAAAAGUUUCUUUGGAGGUUGAUUAUGUUGAUUUUAUGCUUAAAAACAAGCUAGCCUUUAUUUUUCAUUGUAAAGCAUUUUUGUAACCGCAUGCCUUAAAAAAUUAUCACCGAUAUUACCUUUAACACAAGCAAUGUGAUCCCUAAAAGUUAAAAUUUCCAACUUACAAACUUUUUUUUGUCCAAAUGCUAUAUGUUUCACUUAAUCAUGCUUUCUGGCCUAGCAUACCCUUGGUUAUUCACCUCACCAUUAUGAACAAGAUCAAAGAACAUAGCUUUAAGAGCCCUUGAAAUAGAUGAUAUGAAAAGAACACUUGAAACUCCAUCACCAGAUAGUCCAAAAGAAUAUGUCAAAACUUUUGAAUAGCAUGUAAUCAAGUCUAUAUGCUUCAUUUUAUUUUAUUUUAAUCAAGCAUAGCAAGCCAAGCCAUGAGACUGGAGCUAGGACAAAGUUGCCAUGAGGUGACUAACAAACAAUAAAUAAUAAAUCAAGUAAAGGAUCUUAUCAAAAGGUUGUAGUUCUUGAUGCUUGUACAAUAGCAAGGCUGUUAGUGUUGGAACAUUACAAGGUGCCAAGUCUGUCAAAAUCCCAUAAUUAAAGCGAAUCUAAAAAUACGGAUUAUAUAUUAAAGAAAAACUUUUAGCAAGUUAUGUUGGAAUGCUUAUGUUGAAUGUUUUUCAGCAUAUAUUUUAUAAAGCAAAAAUUAAAAGCAAAGUUUCCAUGAAAAAUCACACAAUGAUUAAUGAGGCAUCAUAUCCUUGAUUAUGUCAAAGUUAAAGACACAAUUAAACCUGGAAAAGGAGCAUGUCCUACCGAGGCAAUUGAUCCAUCAUAACAUAAAUACAACUGAUCCCUGAUUCGAAGGUCAUUUAUGCCUCAAUUACUAACGACCCAAAAUUUCUGAAAUAUAUUUCCCAAUCAAGUAGUGUAUGGGAAAGCAAUCCUAUAACCAAGUAGAAUCCUCCAACAAUCAGAAAGUCUUCAACAUGCCUGAACAUACAGGUCAAGUAGAACAAUCCAGGGAGCGAAUAUAAUUUAACAACAAUCAACCUUUAAUAGGUCAAGCAUAUAGUUGUCCAGCUUAAGUUACAAGAGACACUCAAUCCAUUGUGCAGAACACCAGAACGCAUAAAAAGAAACUGAAAACAUACGGAUUUUUUUUUUUU